CCGCCAUUUUGUCUCUAGUGUCUGGUUUGCCGUCGACAGCGUGUAAGGAAGUGUCUUGGUCCCUAGGCGUGAGGCAGGGAACAGGGUCUAUUGUCUGUAUUUGACUCUGUAGUUUGGUCCGAGGCCUUCCAGAACUUUCCUGGGGCAGUGGGCAGAGGCCGCCGUGACCGCCCCCGCCCCUCCCCUCCGUCCCCGGGACCGGGAGGGACCGAGCCCGCGUCACGCCCCUGUGCGCUCGCCGUUCCCUUCUCUGUCGUUGCGUCCGCAUCGCUCCCCCGGAAUCAGACGGUGCCCCAUAGAUGGCCAGCUUUCCCCCGAGGGUCAACGAAAAAGAGAUCGUGAGAUCACGUACUAUAGGUGAACUUUUAGCUCCAGCAGCUCCUUUCGACAAGAAAUGUGGUCGUGAAAAUUGGACUGUUGCUUUUGCUCCAGAUGGUUCAUACUUUGCUUGGUCACAAGGACACCGUACAGUAAAGCUUGUUCUGUGGUCCCAGUGCCUUAGGAACUUUCUCUUGCAUGGCACCAAGAAUAUCACCAAUUCAAGCAGUUUGAGAUUGUCAAGACAAAAUAGUGAUGGUGGUCAGAAAAAUAAGCCUCGUGAACAUAUUAUAGACUGUGGUGAUAUAGUCUGGAGUCUUGCUUUUGGAUCUUCAGUUCCAGAAAAACAGAGUCGCUGUGUAAAUAUAGAAUGGCAUCGAUUCAGAUUUGGACAAGAUCAGCUCCUCCUUGCCACAGGGUUAAACAAUGGGCGUAUCAAAAUAUGGGAUGUAUAUACAGGAAAACUCCUCCUUAACUUGGUAGAUCAUACUGAAGUGGUCAGAGAUUUAACUUUUGCUCCAGAUGGGAGCUUGAUCCUAGUGUCAGCUUCAAGAGACAAAACUCUGAGAGUGUGGGACCUGAAGGAUGAUGGAAACAUGAUGAAAGUAUUGAGGGGCCAUCAGAACUGGGUGUACAGCUGUGCAUUCUCUCCUGACUCUUCUCUGCUGUGUUCAGUGGGAGCCAGUAAAGCAGUGGUGGCAGCAAUAUUGGUGUGAUUGAGGUUAUGCUGGCACCACUCGCACACAGGCGCACAAUGGUGUUAGCUGGGCAGAAAGAGUGGCAUCUCUGGCUACCGGGCUGGGGGCGACCUUUACCAUAGGAUGAAGUAACCUUGCAUUCGGCUGCAAGGUGUACUGUACGUACACAGGUGCUGGUCGAUGUCCACUUUCUGCUUUUCUUUCUUUCUUUUUUUCUUUUUUAAGAUAAGUUCCCCCACAGUGAAACCUACUGACUCCUCUGAGUAAAUUGAUCUUCCAGUGUGAUGGAAUUGGGAGUCUGACAUGUGAAACCAAUUUAAUGUAAUGUAAUUGGCUUUCAGAUGGUUUCUCUGUGCUAUUUUUUGGAAUUCUUUGAGAUGCUAGAGAUACCUUAAGUCUUUGAUCCAAUUUAAAAUUUGUAUUUAUUUUUCUUUGGAAAUAAUAUAUUGUGUCUGUGCAGAAAAUAAGUAGCAAAAAGGAUUGCUUUACUCCAAGAGCAGGAGUUUAUUAGGAUUGUUAUAAACCUCCAAGCUCACAUUUAAUAUAACAGACUGAAGUAAACAUUAGAAUCCUAUUUAGAGCCAUUCUGCACAGUCUAACUACUGAUUUUUAGACUCUAAAACUGUAUGUGAAUUUGUACUAAAGUAAUUUAAAUGUUUUAUACUUAAAAUGACUAAUGAUUGUGGUCAGUUUGGGAAAAGUAAGAUUGGCAAAUCUUGAUUCACAGAAAUGUUGUUAAUUGUAUUAUUUUCGUAAAUUAGCAUUUUCAUUUUGUAAUGUGGUUUAACAUCCUUGUUGUUUGCCAAAGAAAUUUCAUUUGGCUGUGAAAAUUCUCUUUGCUUGCAGUAUCUGUUUCUCUUCCUAGGCUCACGUUGGUGACCCAAGCCUAUUGUAAACAAGUGAUUAUCUCAAAGGGAGAUGCCAAUGGAGUAACAAUUUGUUAACCUUACAUUUUCUGUCUGUAUAUUUUUAAAAAAUUUUGGUAGUUUCUGGAAGAAAAAAAAGAAGGGGGUUUGUAGUACUUAACCCUAUUUAUUUCUGUAUAUUUUAAUUAAUUAGUUUUUGGAAUAAAUGGAUUCAGUAUAACUUUGUGGUUAAAUUGCAUUGCCUUUUUUAUGUUUAGGCUUAUUUUUUAAUUAACAUUUAACAGAAACAUUUGAAAUAGAAUUUGCAUGUCUACUUUAAUUAACUUAAAGAUUGAUUUUAAUCUAUGACACUGAGCAUAUUCUUUUAAUUAUUCGUAAUUUAUAAUGUUUAAUUUAAUAUAAUCUUAAUUAAAUUUAGCAGUUUUAGUUUAAAAUGUGCCAUUUUUGUCCUCUGUGUGUCUGAAUGAAACUAUAACAUUUGCCUUUUUAUUACAGGUUUUCCUUUGGAAUAUGGAUAAAUAUACCAUGAUCCGGAAACUAGAAGGACAUCACCAUGAUGUUGUAGCUUGUGACUUUUCUCCUGAUGGAGCAUUACUGGCUACUGCAUCUUAUGAUACUCGAGUAUAUAUCUGGGAUCCACAUACAGGAGACAUUCUGAUGGAAUUUGGGCACCUGUUUCCCCCACCUACUCCAAUAUUUGCUGGAGGAGCAAAUGACCGAUGGGUACGAUCUGUAUCUUUUAGUCACGAUGGACUGCAUAUUGCAAGCCUUGCUGAUGAUAAAAUGGUGAGGUUCUGGAGAAUUGAUGAGGAUUAUCCUGUGCAAGUUGCACCUUUGAGCAAUGGUCUUUGCUGUGCCUUUUCUACUGAUGGCAGUGUUUUAGCUGCUGGGACACAUGAUGGAAGUGUAUAUUUUUGGGCCACUCCAAGGCAAGUCCCUAGCCUUCAACAUUUGUGUCGCAUGUCAAUCCGGAGAGUGAUGCCCACCCAAGAAGUCCAGGAGCUGCCAAUUCCUUCCAAAGUUUUGGAGUUUCUCUCCUAUCGUAUUUAGAGGAUUCUGCCUUCCCUAGUAGUAGGGACUGAGAUAACACACUUUACACAAACCUCAAGCUUUACUGACUUCAAGUAUCUGUUUUUCAAGGUUUAAAAGAUUUAUUUAAUUUGAUACGUUCUUGUACUGCAUUUUGAUCAGUUGAGCUUUUAAAAUAUUAUUUAUAGACUAUAGGAGAAAUAUUUCUGAACAUGCGAAAUGUACAUUUUUUCCUAAAAUUUAACUGUGAAAACAUACAUACCUGUAUAUAUAUUUAGAUAUAAGCUGCUGUGUGUUAAAUGGACCCUUCCUUUGCUUUUCUAAUUUUUAGUGCUGACAUGUAUAUAUUGCUUCAGUAGAGCCACCAUCUGUAUCUUCGCUGUAAAGAGGAAGGAGCUUUUUUUAUUCUGGGACCCAGAGUUAGAUGGUAGAUGUUGCCUGAAGAGGGCUGAAUUGCCUCACGCAAGAUGUGCGUUUGAUUGGGAGGCUCAGAUAGCUGACCUGCAAGUAAAACACAGUUUUUGUGUAGGGAAGGGAUUUUGUUUUCCUUAGAAAUGGCAUCCGAGAGGUAGAGUUUGAAUGUGACAUUAUUAAAUAAAAUACAGAGCCAGGAUAUAACUAGAAAAAGUGUGUCUUUUUUUUUUUCCUGACUUCUGCUGCGGGCCUUAGUUUUGGAAAGCAGCGGGCUACUUUAACCCCUGUGGCAUAAAGUAUUAUAAAUUUUAGUCAAUUUG